AUUGAACGCUGGCGGCAGGCCUAACACAUGCAAGUCGAACGGUAACAGGAAGCAGCUUGCUGCUUCGCUGACGAGUGGCGGACGGGUGAGUAAUGUCUGGGAAACUGCCUGAUGGAGGGGGAUAACUACUGGAAACGGUAGCUAAUACCGCAUAACGUCGCAAGACCAAAGAGGGGGACCUUAGGGCCUCUUGCCAUCGGAUGUGCCCAGAUGGGAUUAGCUAGUAGGUAGGGUAACGGCUCACCUAGGCGACGAUCCCUAGCUGGUCUGAGAGGAUGACCAGCCACACUGGAACUGAGACACGGUCCAGACUCCUACGGGAGGCAGCAGUGGGGAAUAUUGCACAAUGGGCGCAAGCCUGAUGCAGCCAUGCCGCGUGUAUGAAGAAGGCCUUCGGGUUGUAAAGUACUUUCAGCGGGGAGGAAGGGAGUAAAGUUAAUACCUUUGCUCAUUGACGUUACCCGCAGAAGAAGCACCGGCUAACUCCGUG
rnacentral:rRNA from 1 species